rnacentral:rRNA from 1 species
AUACGGAGGAUGCGAGCGUUAUCCGGAUUUAUUGGGUUUAAAGGGUGCGUAGGCUGUGCGUUAAGUCAGGGGUGAAAUGCCGUCGCUCAACGACGGAGCUGCCCUUGAUACUGGCGUGCUGGAGUACGGAUGCCGUUGGAGGAAUGAGUGGUGUAGAGGUGAAAUGCUUAGAUAUCACUCAGAACACCGAUUGCGAAGGCAUCUGACGAAUCCGUCACUGACGCUGAGGCACGAAAGCGUGGGGAUAGAACAGGAUUAGAUACCCUGGUAUUCCACGCCGUAAACGAUGAUGACUAACCGUCGGCGAUAGACAGCCGGUGGCCAAGCGAAAGCGAUAAGUCAUCCACCUGGGGAGUACGUCGGCAACGAUGAAACUCAAAUGAAUUGGCGGGGG